rnacentral:rRNA from 1 species
UAUGUAGGGUCCGAGCGUUGUCCGGAAUUACUGGGCGUAAAGAGCUCGUAGGUGGUUUGUCGCGUUGUUCGUGAAAACUCACAGCUCAACUGUGGGCGUGCGGGCGAUACGGGCAGACUAGAGUACUGCAGGGGAGACUGGAAUUCCUGGUGUAGCGGUGGAAUGCGCAGAUAUCAGGAGGAACACCGGUGGCGAAGGCGGGUCUCUGGGCAGUAACUGACGCUGAGGAGCGAAAGCGUGGGGAGCGAACAGG